CAGCAGCCGCGGUAAUACAGAGGGUGCGAGCGUUAAUCGGAUUUACUGGGCGUAAAGCGUGCGUAGGCGGCUUUUUAAGUCGGAUGUGAAAUCCCUGAGCUUAACUUAGGAAUUGCAUUCGAUACUGGGAAGCUAGAGUAUGGGAGAGGAUGGUAGAAUUCCAGGUGUAGCGGUGAAAUGCGUAGAGAUCUGGAGGAAUACCGAUGGCGAAGGCAGCCAUCUGGCCUAAUACUGACGCUGAGGUACGAAAGCAUGGGUAGCAAACAGGAUUAGAUACCCCGGUAGUCCCUGUCUCUUAUAC
rnacentral:rRNA from 1 species